UUAAAAACCUCCCAACUGAUACCAUGAUCACGAAGGUGGUUUUCCCAGGGCAAGGCUUAUCCAUGGCACUCUGGAUGUGCUGACCCCUGUGAUUUCCCCAAAUGCGGGAAACUCGACUGCAUAAUUUGUGGUAGUGGGGGACUGCAUUCGUGCUCUCCCCUG
rnacentral:snRNA from 1 species